rnacentral:rRNA from 1 species
AACUAUGUGCCAGCAGCUGCGGUAAUACAUAGGUCGCGAGCGUUAUUCGGAUUUAUUGGGCGUAAAGCAAGCGCAGGCGGAUGGAUAAGUUCUGUGUGAAAAGCAGCUGCUCAACAGCUGUUUGCGCCGAAUACUAUCCAUCUAGAAUACGGUAGGAAGUUUUGGAAUUGAAUAUGGAGCGGUGGAAUGUGUAGAUAUAUUCAAGAACACCAGAGGCGAAGGCGAAAACUUAGGCCGCUAUUGACGCUUAGGCUUGAAAGUGUGGGGAGCAAAUGGGAUUAGAUACCCCAGUAGUCCACACCGUAAACGAUGGGUAUUAAAUGUUGGGGCUGGUGCCUCAGCGUUGUAGCUUACGUGUUAAAUACCCCGCCUGGGUAGUACAUAUGCAAAUAUGAAACUCAAAGGAAUUGACGGGGACCUGAACAAGUGGUGGAACAUGUUGCUUAAUUCGAUAAUACACGAAAAACCUUACCAAGAUUUGACAUCCCUCGCGAAGCUUUAGAGAUAAAGUGAAGGUUAUCGAGGUGACAGGUGGUGCAUGGUUGUCGUCAGCUCGUGUCAUGAGAUGUUGGGUUAAGUCCCGCAACGAGCGCAACCCUACUCUCUAGUUGUUUGUUUA